rnacentral:rRNA from 1 species
CAAUAGCGUAUAUUUAAGUUGCUGCAGUUAAAAAGCUCGUAGUUGGAUUUCGGGUGGGAAUGGCCGGUCCGCCGUUUCGGUGUGCACUUGCUACGCCCACCUUGCUGCCGGGGACGUGCUCUUGAGUUCACGCUCGGGACACGGAGUCGGCGAGGUUACUUUGAGUAAAUUAGAGUGUUCAAAGCAGGCCUACGCUCUGAAUACAUUAGCAUGGAAUAACACGAUAGGACUCUGGCCUAUCUCGUUGGUCUGUAGGACCGGAGUAAUGAUUAAGAGGGACAGUCGGGGGCAUUCGUAUUUCAUUGUCAGAGGUGAAAUUCUUGGAUUUAUGAAAGACGAACUACUGCGAAAGCAUUUGCCAAGGAUGUUUUCAUUAA